UACGUAGGGUGCAAGCGUUGUCCGGAAUUACUGGGCGUAGAGGGCUCGUAGGCGGCCAACUAAGUCGGAUGUGAAAUCCCCAGGCUCAACUUGGGAACUGCAUCCGAUACUGGAUGGCUUGAAUUCGGGAGAGGGAUGCAGAAUUCCAGGUGUAGCGGUGAAAUGCGUAGAUAUCUGGAGGAAUACCGGUGGCGAAGGCGGCAUCCUGGACCGACAUUGACGCUGAGGAGCGAAAGCUAGGGGAGCAAACGGG
rnacentral:rRNA from 1 species